rnacentral:rRNA from 1 species
GCUGCUAAUGCCCUACACGACCGUACCGCAAACCGACACUGGUGCGCGAGAUGAGUAUUCUAAGGCGCUUGAGAGAACUCAGGAGAAGGAACUCGGCAAAUUGACACCGUAACUUCGGAAGAAGGUGUGCCUUUAGUAGGUGAACCAUUUACUUGGGGAGCCCAAUGAGGCUGCAAAAAAUCGGUGGCUGCAACUGUUUAUUAAAAACACAGCACUCUGCUAAGACGAAAGUCGACGUAUAGGGUGUGACGCCUGCCCGGUGCUGGAAGAUUAAAUGAUGGGGUGCAAGCUCUUGAUUGAAGUCCCAGUAAACGGCGGCCGUAACAAUAACGGUCCUAAGGUAGCGAAAUUCCUUGUCGGGUAAGUUCCGACCUGCACGAAUGGCGUAAUGAUGGCCACACUGUCUCCUCCUGAGACUCAGCGAAGUUGAAAUGUUUGUGAUGAUGCAAUCUCCCCGCGGAAAGACGGAAAGACCCCAUGAACCUUUACUGUAGCUUUGUAUUGGACUUUGAACAGAUCUGUGUAGGAUAGGUGGGAGGCUUUGAAGUGUGGUCGCUAGAUCGCAUGGAGCCAACGUUGAAAUACCACCCUGGUGUGUUUGAGGUUCUAACCUAGGUCCAUUAUCUGGAUCGGGGACAGUGCAUGGUAGGCAGUUUGACUGGGGCGGUCUCCUCCCAAAGUGUAACGGAGGAGUUCGAAGGUACGCUAGGUACGGUCGGACAUCGUGCUAAUAGUGCAAUGGCAUAAGCGUGCUUAACUGCGAGACUGACAAGUCGAGCAGAUGCGAAAGCAGGACAUAGUGAUCCGGUGGUUCUGUAUGGAAGGGCCAUCGCUCAACGGAUAAAAGGUACUCUGGGGAUAACAGGCUGAUACCGCCCAAGAGUUCAUAUCGACGGCGGUGUUUGGCACCUCGAUGUCGGCUCAUCUCAUCCUGGGGCUGUAGCCGGUCCCAAGGGUAUGGCUGUUCGCCAUUUAAAGAGGUACGUGAGCUGGGUUUAAAACGUCGUGAGACAGUUUGGUCCCUAUCUUCCGUGGGCGCUGCAGAUUUGAGGAAGCCUGCUCCUAGUACGAGAGGACCGGAGUGGACGAACCUCUGGUGUAUCGGUUGUCACGCCAGUGGCAUUGCCGAGUAGCUAAGUUCGGAAGAGAUAACCGCUGAAAGCAUCUAAGCGGGAAACUCGUUUCAAGAUUAGAUCUGCCGGGGCCUUGAGCCCCCUAAAGAGUCGUUCAAGACCAGGACGUUGAUAGGUCAGGUGUGGAAGUGAAAAA